CUGCAAGGCCCUUGCUGGUCAUUAACUCCUUACAAAGUUUUUGGCAGUAUCCAGUGUUGCUAAGGAUGAUUUAAUUCCUACUACCGGUCCUAUUCCCAGAGGCAGCUUCUCCAAGGUGGCUCCUGACACAGGAAAUGAAUUCUGCAGCAGAAGAGGAGCACAGGGACGUGUCGCCUCCACUCCCCUUCCAGCAAACUCUUCUGAGACCAAUUCUCCCUCAAAGCUGUCCUGGUGAUUACACAGCAGAAAAAUAAUUCCCCAGUUGUUGGACCAGGGUACAGUCUGAAAACUAUGUUUUCUUAUAUUAUAGAUUGAAAUAGAGAUCUUUUCCAGACACACAUUUGAAAAUAUUGAUUUUUUUGUUGCUGAACCUCUUUCUUGUAAAAGAGUUUCAAAGGGAGGUCUGUCACUGAAGGAGGGUUGGGAUUUGCAGCUGCACACACAAGUGUUUUCAGAGGGCUGUCAAAGAACACAUGGCCUCAAAGCAUAAGGAUGAGUGGGAAGUGGGAGAAACAAGGUUGCAUUUUAUGACUGUUCAAGCAAACUAAAACUGCAUCUCAACCUCCUUGCUCCAGCACUGCUUUGUAAUUCCUACAGGUUGCAAUCCCCUACCUGAAAGGCAGUUUUUUGGAACACAAGCAAAGCCAUUCUGCAUUUUCAACCCUCUGUCCAAAUUUAGUUGAUAACAAUGAAAACAAACCACUUCUGUCUAGUAAGAAACUAGCUGUACAAAUUAGAUAAAAAAUGGAUUAGUCACUUUUUUGAUUCACUACCAAUCAAAAAUAAAUAAAUAAAUAAAUACA
rnacentral:lncRNA from 1 species